GAAAGANNNNNNNNNNNNNNUAUGGAGAAGUAAAACAGUUAAUGUGCUAGGGUUGUAAAUAGUAGCUUAGUUUUUCUUUAAGAAACCCUUUUGGGGGAGGGCAGUACUGAGGAUUGAACCCCAGGGCAUGAAUCAUACAUGCCUAGCAAAUGCUCUACCACUGAACUGCAUUCCUAGUUUAAAAAACUCUUUUAUUGUUGUUAAAGAUUGUGCCAGAGCUGGGCUUGGUGGCACACACCUGUAAUCUCAACACUCUGGAAGGCUGAGGCAGGAGGAUUUGAGUUUAAGGGCAGCCUGGGGAACUUAGUGAGAUCUUGUCACACACCCAAAAAGAUGUGGCUGAAUGCCUACACAUACACAUUCAAAGCCCUUGCAAGAGUAUCUUACUGUCCAUGGUAUGUGGGACCUGGGUAAGUUCUUUCAAAAAUAAAAGUAAUCAAACACCAGAAAUCACUGGAAAUCUGAAGGUUGUGAUCAUUUAGAGAAGAAAUUGAAACCAAGACUUUCAUUCUUUAACCAUUCUGCUAAGAGCACCAAGCUUUGAUGCGUCUUUCAGACUGGUGCUGUCAUCUCUGAACAUUCUUGAAAUUGCUUUGUUUCCAGGUUCAGUUUCAGAAGCUUCAGCAACUGCGACUCACACAGUACCACGGAGGCUCCUUACCAAAUGUGAGCCAGCUUCGGAGCAGUGCCUCAGAGUUUCAGGAUGGUGGUCAAGAAUGCAGUCUCUGAAGUCAGACUGUGGGGGUCUCAUCAGCAGCUUCCCACAAACUAGCACUGGGAACUUAGACAAGCUCCUCCCCUUCUCCGUGCCUCAGUUCAUUUAUCUGUCAGCAGUGGAUGAGAGCACUGAAGAUAAACUUGUGAAGAUUACAUUGGUUAAGGCAUGUAUAUCCUUUGAAUAAUGCCCAAUGCAUAGUUAAUUGCUCAAUAAAUGUUGCAAAGUUCCUGUGAAGCUUCUAUUGAGUGAAGCACUAGAGGUGGGGUAUAUUUGCCUUCUAAUACAAUUUCAAGAAAUUGUUGAUACCAUUCUCCCUGUCUUUCUGUGCAGGUGCUCUAUGCAGGGCUAGAGAACCAAGCUUUUGCUGUUUAUAUGAAGCUCCUUCAAUUCUAUAAGGGUAGUUCCAUUUAAAAAUUUCUCAGUGAUUGGAUAAAAACCCUUUUGAAGUUUUACUUGGCCUGUGCCAGGGUCAGGUGGGCUGGAUAGUAAUGCCUGACUCAGGGCAGCUCCCAGGAGAGACAGAGUACCAGAAGGAAGACACCCUAGGCAGUGGCAGGGCUAGGACAGGUCAGAAGUGAGGGCUCUAGAUUACCUUGGAUUUUGAUUCCAUGUGAAGUUCAAAUCAUGUUAAUAUGGAGCAGACCUCUGUCCUUGACUCCAGCCUCUGACUGCCAGGUUGUAAAAGAGGGAGAAGAAGCACGACAUUUAAAGUAGUGAUUGUCUCGAACUAAACUUUUAAAUUGCCACAUGUUUUGGCAGUAGGAUGAGCCAAAGUUUUGUUCCAAUUCCCUAGAAAAUUUCACAAUAGUCAGGAGUUAGAAUUGGCCCCUAUGUUAUGAAAGAGGCAGUUUUUAUAUUUUAAACUUUAAAAUAAAGCUUUAGUUGUGAAUUAUUACUUGUGACAUUUUCCAAGAGUUGGAAUGCCAUCUGUGGAAGAUUCUGCACAAGCCCUGAUGCCACACACUGCAUUGCUUUCCUGUUCCAAGACAAUAGUUUGCUUCACAGAACUCCCUGGGUGUACAAGUUGGCUGCCUUGACAACAAACAGCUAAUGUCUCAGCUCUUUCUGUCUUUACCCCAGGCUCUUGGGAAUGUGACUUCAGAAAGUUCUCCCUUCUCAUUUUCUGUUGGAAACCUCUUUGGAGGCAGUCCCUAUGGUAACCAUUUUCUUUCUGCUAGUUUCCUUGAGUAGGAGGGAAAACAUUUUUCCACAGACUUUAGACAGGAGUUGUUUGUGUUGGUGCUGGGGUUGUAACCCAGGGCCUUGCGAAUGCAAAGUGCUCCCUCUCUGAACUACAACCUGGGCACUGGAGGGAGUCCAGCAAUGGUGAGGAGGAGAGUGCAGUGCUCCUGAGUCCUGUAUCAUCUAAUCCUCCUGUGGGCUUUCUGAGAUAGGUACUGUCAUCCCCAUUUUACUGAUGCUUAAACAGUAACAUGACCAAGGUCACAAAAGUGGGAAGUGACUGCGUCAGAAUUCUAACCCAGGUUUAUCUCUCCCAGGUCUUUGCUCUUAUUUAACAAAUUAAACAAGGCUCGACACACGAUCACUUCAUUUUCGGUUAGGAAAAGUGUUUUAUUUUUCCUUUUUCUCAGUCUGGAGGGAUGUCUUUUUCUUGGGGCCUUCAAAUCCCAGUUCAGUGUCACUUUUACUUGGUUUCUUUUCUUAGGUUAUAUUCUGUUUAUUCACUCCUUUGGGCUCCUGGGAAAUCUUUUUAUUAGCUUAAUCCUGCCUUCAGUCCUAGACAAACUUUUCUGGACUACUGAAGAAGAAAUUGCUCCUUGGGUUAGGCUUCACUCAGCCACCCAGAUAGGAGUUUCACACUGGACGGUAGUCAGGAAAGGCAGAUCUAGGGGGCAGUAGCCUGGAGGGAGGGAGAUACUAGACCCCAAGAGUCCAAAAGAUCAGCAGAAUGGAGGAGGGGCAGCUAACCAGAGCAACUUGGCCAUGUGGGUCAUGACUCUUCCUGCCAAGACAGGCUGUGAGGUGGUGACUCACCAGCUUAUCUCUCCUCAGUAUCUCCCGACAUCUUGUCUUUCAUGGAGUUGUUCAAGAGACAGUUCUGCCAGCCUGUGCCUGUUCCAACUCUGAGCAGCUUUUGAGAUACAUUUAGAGUUAAUUAAUUUAGAACUAUCAUUUAAACAUUUUUUUUUUUUUUUUUGGUACCGAGGAUUGAACUCUGGACCUUGUGCUUUCGAGGCAGGGGCCGGAACCACUGAGCUAAAUCCCCGGCCCUACUAAUUUUAAUAUGUACAAUUAAUUAUUCCGUGUUAAACCACUGAGCUAAAUCCCCGGCCCUAAACAUUUUAAUAUGUACAAUUAAUUAUUCCGUGUUAACUCAAAGAAAAAAUAAAAUUUAAGAAGUGUAAGUUUUGAAGCAACUUGCAGGUUAAAAUGUAGUUCAGAAUUAAACAGGCAGAUUAUUAUGAAAAAGGGAGCAUUUAUGAGAGACAAACCAUAGCCUUCUCCGGGUUUUUGCCAAUAACAAUUGAUUCUAAUUUGGCACAGGUAUCUUUCCAUAAUGACUGCUUGUCCUUGCAGGCAAAUCAGAAUUUGUAGGUUGAGAGUGGGCUCUGUACCUUUUUAGGUGCAGAGGUCAAAAAGUAAAAGUAGUAGCUGG
rnacentral:lncRNA from 1 species